AGGACUAACGCUGGCGGCGUGCCUAACACAUGCAAGUCGAACGAGGUAGCAAUACCUAGUGGCAGACGGGUGAGUAACACGUAGUCAACCUUCCCGAUAGUGGGGGAUAACUAGCCGAAAGGUUAGCUAAUACCGCAUACGAUCUUCGAGUGGCAUCAUUUGAAGAUGAAAGGAGCAAUCCGCUUUCGGACGGGACUGCGUCCCAUUAGCUAGAUGGUGGGGUAAUGGCCUACCAUGGCAACGAUGGGUAGCUGGUUUGAGAGAGCGACCAGCCACACUGGGACUGAGAAACGGCCCAGACUCCUACGGGAGGCAGCAGUGAGGAAUUUUCCGCAAUGGGCGAAAGCCUGACGGAGCGACGCCGCGUGUGGGAAGAAGGCCUUCGGGUCGUAAACCACUGUCGAAGGGGAAAUACUGAUGGUACCCUUGGAGGAAGCCCGGCUAACUACGCGCCAGCAGCCGC
rnacentral:rRNA from 1 species